GCGUACUGUGUUGGCGGUCAGGAUAAACCGUCAGAGUCGAGAGAGAGGAGAUUGUACAGAAAACAGGCGUUUAAGUCGCUAAUUCUGCGUGAUAAUGGCACCAACGGAGUCUACCAUGAUCGAAAAUCAAUUUUGGAGAGUCUGGGGAAUCGAGGGGAGAUGUGAUGUCGGUUCAAACGCUCGCAAAUUUCGAAUAGUGACGUUAGCAACUUUCGUCGCCCCCCUCCCCCUUGUCCGGCUGGCAUCGCAGCAAAACAACAAAGCAGCAUGAACAGCCUUUGCCUCCGGAUGUACUGUACGGUAGAUGCAGCAGAGGUUGUAAGGAGGACAGUCUAGAUGAAAGGCACGCAACUGCGUCUGAGUCUUCGAGUACCUGACUGCUGCUACAGGCUCCUUAGGAACUGACUCCGAAGAAGUACUCCAAACCAACACCAAGACAUCCAACAUGCAAACACAGAACAGAGAGCCUUACCCUGGGUGCAUGGCAGCAGUGGAGUCAGAAGUGGAUAGGAUUGUUUAUACAUGAGCAGUUCUACAACAUAUUUCCCAAAAGUUAACAUUGUGGUGUGCCAUGUGCCGCAGGUGGUCAGUAUUGAUAGAGACCAUAGGUUACUGUAUUUUGCCUUAUUUUGACAAACAUUUAGAUUUGUUUUUGUGUCUGAUGGUUGUCAGAUGAUUAGACACAAGCUAUUAAGGUCUUAUUACUAUAUUAGCCAUACCAGAAUGUGUACUGUAAAAUGUAUUCCAGUUCCAAUCUCCAGUGAUUUAAUAUGAUGACAAUGAUACAUUUUACAUUGUGUCGUAAAAAGUCACUGAUAUUGUGGAAAAAGAGCAAAACAAUGCAAGCUCCACUGAAUGUCAACCCAUAUAUCACAAGCCAGUUUUGUAAUUUCCUUGUUAUGUCAGUGUUUCUUUGAAUAGUUUUCAAGCUUUUUAUCAUGCGGGAUAUAAUGACAUGUUAAGGGUGACAAGUUGGUAUGGAUUUUCCAUAGAAAAUGUGACAACGUUUCCUGGUACAUGUUAAACCAAGUGUAUAGUUUCUCAAAGGCUGUGUGUCAGUAGAGAAUGAUAAUAUUUUAUUUAGAUUUGUGUCUGCUGAUAGUCUGUGUGUUCAUGAGAAAUGCUGCUUGUAUUUAUUAUUAUUAUUCUGUUGUAUGUGUAUGUAUAUGCCUAUGUGUUUUGUUAGUACAACACAGAUGGUCACUGAUCAUUUGAACAUUAUAAGAAAAAAGUGUAUAACUUGUACGUAAAACUUUUACUUACUUGUAUGUAAUGCUUAUUUGCAUACCUUUUAGAAAAGGUAACAGCCAAUUUAUGUUUAAUUUCUAUGCUUUUUAAAUAAAUAUUUCUGAGUUCUGCCCAGAACCCAUUUCCUGUGCUUGUAUAUAAUUCAGGGGAGUGAUACAACGUUAUUAAGGAAAUAUGGGUAAAGGGGGGUAAAUAUGGCAAGUCGUUCUGGUAAGGGCAUGUACGCGUAAAUACGGGUAAAUUCAACUAAAUGUCAGAAAUACCAUGCUCGGUA